UUAGGAGAGUGGGAAGCAAAAGUGGGUGUAAGGCCCAUGGGUCAUAUGGAGACCCAAAAGAUUGGACUAAAGCCCAAAGCAUUCGUUCUCGACGGUACCACACUGCCAUCUUCCCCUGUUCUACCAACGGAUAUGUAAGAAAAACCCCUAAUCUAUCGCCCUAAUGUAUCAACAGUUUCAAAAACCUUCCAUCACUGAAGGCUUAGAUCGGUUGAUAUUAGUUGAGAUUAGUUGGAGUUCGAAGUUUUGCCUUUUCAUUUCCUGCAUUUUCUCACUAACCAAACAGACCCACUUCACAAUGUUGUCUGUUUUCCGACAUGAUGUGUAAAAUCUAGCUUCUCACGCAAAGAGUGUCUCCUGCUAGGUAACUGUUCUUCUAAGAGGAUUUGGUUAGAAAGACCCAAUUGAAAGUCCUUUCUUUUAUGGUGGAAGGAAAUCUGCGACAAUGUCGAAUUCGAGGUCAACAACCGAAGGUAAGGCUUUUCGUAUAUGUAGUAACACGUAUUUUUGGGACAAAUGAAGCAUCAAAGCGUUAGAUGCAUCUGUUAGUUGGAGGUUGUGCAAACUUCAUAUGAAACAUUUAACUGUGUUCGAAAGAGCUCGUAAGUUACCAUUUAGGCUUUCCAUAGACUGUUUACGUAGAAGAUUGGAAGUGAAAUGAUAAAAUUAGGCCAUAUCUUUACAUGUUUUGUUUAUAAUUUUGGGUUAUUUCUCAAAACAUUGUUGUCUACGAAUGUAUAGUUUAUAGUAGCUACUAGCUACCAUUUUAAAACAACCAACAAGGGGUAACAUGGGAUAGUUUGUUAGUAUAUAUCUUCCCUAGUAAACAAACUCCACUCUAUGCUGCAGAGAAAAUCUAAUGUUAUGGUAAAGGAGAUCUUAAAGUGUCAUGUAUACGUUCUCAAGAAGCAAAUCACCCUGUUCUGUUGUAAGUGCGAUGUCAGUGUCCUACGGCUGUUGAAAUAAACCAUUUCUUUCUCAAUAAGUAAGGUAUAUCUUUUGAAUUUGAAGAACUUAACUUCCACGCAAUCGUGUGUUAAACUUUAUUCUUCCGCAAGUAGGAUGGCAGUGUCAAAACUAUGUACUCUAUUGGUUAAUAUAUUUACAUUUCUCCUUUCUACUCUCCCCUUUUAUAGACGCAGGCAGAAUAAUUUUGGCAAUUUUAAACCUCUGUGUAUUGAUCUUUUUGCUGCUCUUGUUCAAGUGGCUAUCCUGAUAAAAGCUGUGUUCUGAAAUAUCAGAGAUUGGCUCCGAAGCUUUUCUGGAAUUGGUAUUAAGUGUUAGGGAAUACUGGUAGAUAGAACUAUGAGGGUUACAAAACCUGUUUACCCACCAGACUGCAUGUUUCAUGCCAUACCACUGGUAGAUAGAGCUGUAAGGCUUAUGAAAAAAACAUGGUUUUCGUGUGGCAGUACCAGUUAGUGCAUAGAGUGGGCAUUCAAAUGGAAUCUGCUUCUAUAUGUUGGUCCAAUUGUAAAUGGUGGGCCAACACAUCAUCAAUUACCUAAGGUUAUGUUUGCGUGUGGGACUUCCAAAUCUCAAGGGGUUUAGGCCAAGUGAGGAAUGUUUGGGUGAGGGACUUCUAAAUUCCAAGGGAUUUAGGCAAAGUGAUGAAGAAAUGGAUCACAAAAAAUUAGAUUACAGGCCACAUGAGAAUUGCAAAAGCAUGGGAGAGGGAUUUGCAACUGACUAGUUGGAAUUUAGAAUGGAUUUGCAAUUCUCACGUGGCCUGUUAUCUAACUUUUUGUGAUCCAUUUCUUCAUCACUUGGCCUAAAUCCCUUGGAAUUUAGAAGUCCGUCACUCAAACUCUAAAACAUUAGAUGGGAGGAUUACAAAUGCAGUACAUGAUUGUCACAAAGGUAUGCAAGUAGGAUUUGUAAAUGACUCGUUCCAAGUGGUCAUAUGCAAAUUCCUCCCAAAUGCCUUUGUAGUGUUCAUGCGGUGCAUUUUUAACCCCUCCUAUCUAACAUUUUGUGAUCCAUUCCGUGCUAACUUGGCCUCAAUCCUUUGGGAAGUGCAAUUCUCUCAUCCAAACAUGGCCUAGAAGUGAUACUCGAGUUAAAGGUCCUUUCUUAUUUAGAUAGAUGGUUUGCCAUGCUGAUUUGAGAUACUAUUGGACAUUAUAGGAGUUGGUUGGUUAGAGGCCUUUAUCUUUUUUUAGUGGACAGCUUGUGACCAUGCUUAUAUCUAUAAUUAUAUCAUAUGAGUAAAACCUUUUUUUUCUCACCUCAAAAGAAUAGAGAUAAACCAUGUUUCAUGGUUCAUGGGGUUUUUUAAGUGAGUUCAGUUUUGAUUUUGAAACAUUACAACUUACAAGUGCUAAGAUUUUUCUUAUACAAUUUGAUUCUAGGUAAUCUUUCCUAUUGUAUGAUGACUUUCAUUAUCAAUUGUAUCUUCCUUGGCCAAGGAUUUAGAGUUUUCCUUGAAUAAAUUUGCAAUGGGUCUAUGUUUGCAUUAUUCUUUGAGUUUAGUUUUCUUGAAGAACAAUGUAUUGAAUAAAAUCAUUGGUGAUCAUCCAAUUUUAGAAAAUGUGCAUCCCGAGUUUAAUUGAUGAUUAUAAAUGUAUAUGGCUCCAUUAACUUUAUGUCGGAGCUUGUGAAAAAUAUGGCAUACGUUGGAUCAGCAUUUGAGUUAGUUGUAGACUGGUAGUUGAUUUCAUCCCUUUGUUUUGACUGAUAUGAAGCAUCAAAUUGUUAGGGAAAAGGGCCAUUUUAAAAAAAAAAAACAAUAUCCAACCAUUCGACAAUGAUGAUGACAUUCAUUUCAGAUCAAAUUCUUUGCAUCUACUGAUGGAGUUGUCUGGAUAGUGUGAGGGUUUUGCAUAACAUUUAGCCUGCUUGAAAUGAUUAAUCUGACUAUAUUAGAUUAUGUGGAGUUUAGGAAGACCUAGCAUGACUGAUCUAUCUAUUUGUUGGUAUUCAGCUAACGUAUUUUAGUUCGUUGAAAAGUUAAAAACUAAUCUAGAAUUAGUUGGCCCAUAUUUUAGACAUUACCUUGACGAAAUAGAUAAGGGUUUGCUGAAAGAAAGGCAUACUUUGGGAUUGGAUUGAAUGCUAAUACUUUAGAAUGGUUGGUUGAUGGAGGCUUAGCGUAAAAUUCGAAACUGUAGUUUUAAAUGGAGAAAAAUGAUAAAAAUUCAAAAUUGUUGUUUAAAGUUUCAAUUAGAUAUGAUUUGUAAGUUUAGUGGUAAUGAUUUUACAUUGCAGGGAGUGACAAGGAUAUGCAAUUUAGUGUAGCUUGUAUAGUUUCUGCCAAUUGUUUUUGCUCACCUAACCUCCUGUUAUGCAUGCAUGAGUCUAAAUUUAUUUAGUAGUUCAAUUACUAAUAAGGGACAAAUCAUGUUGGUGAAUCUAUUUUUUCAUUUGAAUUGCCUCAAUGAUAUAUACUUGUGCAUUCAUUAAUGAGUUGCAUAAAAUUGUUCAGACUGCAUAUUUCACAAAAAUGUCCGUUGCAUUUAUUUCAUUUCUGUAUAAUCUAUUCAUUUUUCUUGGCACUAUUUGCUGGUAGCUUUUCACCUGACUUCCAUGACCACCAUUCCAUCUACUCUUCAAUAGCUAACUGCCUCUCAAGGUUGGAUAGGAAGUCUGCUUUAUGUGCAGGAUCUUAUGAGCUUCGUGUCAAGGCUAGAAAUUGAAUGGUGUGGUAUCCUUAUUUGACUACCGCGUCCCAAGGUGGGCAGUCUAUUUUUACGUUUCAUGGGGCCCGAGUCUGCCGCCAUGUGGAUUACGUGUCGUCUUUGUUUGCUUGGUGAUUGGGAAUUUAUAACUAAAUAUCAUUAGGAGUUGCGAUUGGCAAUCCAAAAUGGUCAUCCUGCACUCCUCGAAAGGCAGUUUCUUACCUUAUGUUGCUACAAGAGAGGAGUGCAGGAUGAAUUUUUGGAGUGCUAAUUAAUAACAUCUCCCGCAUUUUAUUACUCAUAGAUGUUCAUUGAUGUCCUGAGCAGGUUCUUUCUGAUGAACGAAAGACUUGACAGCCUAAGGAUUGUUCGAUUAGACCAUAGAAUUCCAUGUGAUAGUGAGAGGUAGGUAUUCAGCCGUAUCUAUUUGAUUUUUACUAGAAUGUAUGAACAUUUCCUGCGAUGGCUUAUGUCGGGAUUAAACCAAGUUGUGAUUGUUUAAUGAAAUUGAACCCCGAUGUUGAAUA